rnacentral:rRNA from 1 species
UACGUAGGGCGCAAGCGUUGUCCGGAAUUAUUGGGCGUAAAGAGCUCGUAGGCGGCCAGUUGCGUCUGCUGUGAAAUCCCGGGGCUCAACCCCGGGCGUGCAGUGGAUACGGGCUGGCUAGAGGCAGGCAGGGGAGAACGGAAUUCCCGGUGUAGCGGUGAAAUGCGCAGAUAUCGGGAGGAACACCGGUGGCGAAGGCGGUACUCUGGGCCUGUACUGACGCUGAGGAGCGAAAGCGUGGGGAGCGAACAGG